GGGCCAAUGGAAAUGUGACAUUAGAGACCGUUUCCAGAUUCUUCCAUACCAGUACCUUAAGAAAAGGUGAAAACGACAUUAAUAGUGUUUCAAACCCAAUAUUUUCAGCAAGAAAAUCCAUUCCUGGGGACGAUCACAUACCAAAAUUCCUAUUUCCGGAACGGAACCAGAAAAAAUGCUAGUCUAUGUAGUAGAUGAUUCCCCCUUCCUCUUCUUCUACUACCUCAUAAUCUUCGUUUUCGUUCUCAUUCUCUUCCGUUUCGCCAUCGUCUUUUUGUUCCUUUUACUACUUUUUGCCCUGUGCUCCGACCUCGUUUACCUCUUAACUUCUCUCGUAUGCCCCCCCUAAUCGUGUUCUUUCGCGUUAUAUGUCUUAUUUUGCAUGUAUAGUUUAUGGGUGUGUUAAUUUGUCUGAUAAAGGUGCAGGGGGUGUUUGAACAGAAACUGGGAGAGUGGACCAUGCCAGAUGCCACGGACUCGGUUUUGGUUCUGUUAACGACGUCGUUGAACUUAUACCAACUGUUUGAUGAAAAGUCUCAUUAGGAAAGCUUAAGGGAAGAGCUGGAUUAGUAAUAAUAGAGUUGCUAUUAUCAGUAUCAUGUGAUCUUCUUUUUUAUUUUUUGCACGUUAUGAAUAAAUUCUUGUAUAUUAUUACUUUCUGAAUUCUAUAUGUAUUCGAUUAAUAAUUUUUCUAUAAAUGUUACCUAUGUGUUGAAAAUAUUGCUUAUGUUCCCAAAUGGUUUCAUUAUAUAUAAGCAGGUUCUGUCUAAAUUAAUAGUAGAUCUCAUGAUCUUUUGUUUAUAUGAUUGGAAUUAGCUAUUUUGAGUCCCCUGUUCGUUGACUUUUGAGAAUGAGAUAGAGAGUAAUAUGGUAAUAAAUGAUCGUGGUAAUAUUUCAAACUCCCUCAAUAUGUUGAGAAUUCUACAAGUAUUCCUUCAGUUUCGGUGGUAAAACAAUUGUUCGAAAUCAGGGGACAAUUGGAUUUCUAAAUUAUGGUGUGGUGGUGCCACGGUGUCUGAUAUUCUUCUGUUUGAGAUUCACCAUCACCUUGUUAAUGCCUAAAAUGUAUGCAAACUGCCAAUAAUGAAUCUAGCAUUUAAUUGAUUAAAGUGUUUUUAUCUUGUAUAAAUUUUGCUUACUUUCGCACUUUCAAGAUUACUUGCCGAAAAUACUAUAUGACAGAGGAUGUGAAUACAUAGUUUCCGGCUCUCGUAUUGAUUUAUUGUUUCUUUGUUCUUUCUUAAAGCAUUCUUCUGUCAUGUCUUGAUUUUCUGCAUCUUUAGGAUGGUGGUGUAUGUAUUUGAUUCCUAUUUUCUCUGUAAUUGAUAUCCUAGAAGUUUACAUGCUUGUCUAUCAUGUCUUGAUUUUCUGCAUCUUUAGGAUGGUGGUGUAUGUAUUUGAUUCCUAUUUUCUCUGUAAUUGAUAUCCUAGAAGUUUACAUGCUUGUCUAUCAUGUCUUGAUUUUCUGCAUCUUUAGGAUGGUGGUGUAUGUAUUUGAUUCCUAUUUUCUCUGUAAUUGAUAUCCUAGAAGUUUACAUGCUUGUCUAUCAUGUCUUGAUUUUCUGCAUCUUUAGGAUGGUGGUGUAUGUAUUUGAUUCCUAUUUUCUCUGUAAUUGAUAUCCUAGAAGUUUAUAUGCUUGUGAUAUUUAUAUUUCUUAAUAUUCCUGAAUCACAAAUGUGUAUUUUCCGGUAAUUCAUGUCUUGUCAAUGGCUCCUUCCCUGCAUAACAUGUGCUAGUUGUAGUGUCCAUGUUUUUGUGCUUUUCAAUUUGCUUAAAUAGUAUCCCAUAAUGUGAACAUUUGUAAUUGAAGACAUUUCGACAUAGUUAACCUAUAAUAUUUUCCUUUUGAAUUCGGUUUUUUAGUUAUGAAAUGGUCUUUUAUGGUUUGCCACCAUCCAAUUUACUUGACAAUUGAAUAAAAGCUGGAAGUUACAAAUCAGAAAUUUUUAAUUCCAAGGCACAUGCAUUUAGAUUGUAUAUACUUUUUGGUAUCUGAUGUUUUGUUUCCUGCAAAAGCGAGUAUAAAUUUCGAUGCAGUCAGUUUCUUUUGUACUAGAUUUUAUAUCUUGUCAGCUUCGUAUAUGUGCAAUCAAACAUUGAUGAUGAAAAGAUGUCUACUAAUCCAUAAUCCUGUGAAGAGAAAACUGAGAAAAAUCCUCACAUGCAUUGAUGAUAUUUUUGAUGAAGAUGGGUUUUCAUUGCCAUAAAAUCUACCAGACGUUGUGAGGGAGGGACACUUUGCGGUACAUACAUUCGAUGAUCGUCAAUCGAGGAGGUCUGUAAUAGAGUUAAGUUGCUUAGCCCAUAUGGGUUUUCUGAAACUGUUACAGCAAGCAGAGGAAGAAUUCGGGUUCAGACAAAAGGGUAUUCUUGCUGUCCCUUGUGGUUAUGGUGACCUUCAAAGACUUCUUGAAAGCAAGAAGGAAAAUUUUGGAUGGUGAUCAAUUGUCUGUUGUCUUACUGUCGUGCAGUUGGUUGCAUCUGUUUGCUAUAUAGUAUUCUUGGAUAGAGACUUGUAACUUUAAUGGAUUGUCAAUGUUGUAUGGAAAGAAUCUAUGAUUAUUUGAAUUAUUUUACACUACAGAAAUGGUUUUAAAAAUAGAUUAAACCAGGCGCUAGUGAGUUAGUUCACGCAGUUCGAAGCUUUGGAAGGAUGGUCCUUCACUUUAUCUUCAAUCUUGAGCCACUAAAAAUUGGACAUUUGGGAGUUAACGUAUAGGGCCUGUUUGAUUGUCAAGGAUCUUUUCCAUUUUUCAAUAUUUGUGGUGUUUGACAAGAUAAAUUUUUCAAGGAAAACUAUUUCCAUGAACCUUGGUCACUUUUUCCACCAUUUCAUGGUACUGGUGAGAAUUCAAAUUCCAUGUUAAUGUAGCGAGUUUUUAAAUUUUUUUUCAUUUUUUUAUUUUAUUAUUUGCCAUAGAAACAAAUUUUGUCCCUAAUUUUUAAAAAAUAUUUUCAUUUAAUUGACAAUUUUCAUGUAAAACAAAGUCAAAU
rnacentral:lncRNA from 1 species